GGCUGUUUGCACGCCCUCCGUUGCUCCGCCGACCCAGUGCUUCUGAUAAAUGGCACAAGCUGCUGUUAAUGAGCUUUUCUGCUAAUUAAGCAGAAGAGCCACGGCGGGCACAGCUGGAGGUGUGGAUAACGCCCAGCGGCUGGCCGUGCCGCCAGGCCCCAUCCCAUGGUGUCGGCCGGGCAGCGCCUGCUGAAUGUGCCUGCCUCCAAGCGUUUAUCUACAUUUUCUUUUUUUUUCCUCCUUUUUCUUUUUAUCUACAUUUUCUUUUUACUUUUUUUUUUCUCCUUUUUUCUCCAUUUUCUUUUUUCUCCUUUUUCUUUUUUUCUUCUUUUUUCUCCUUUUUCGUCAUUUUCUUUUUUCUCCUAUUUUUCUUUCCAUUUCCUUUUCUCUCCUUUUUUUCUCCUUAUUUCCCCCUUUCUUUUCUCCUUUUUUUCUUCUCCAUUUUCUUUUUUUCUCCUUUUUUUUUCAAUUUUUUUUCUCCAUUUCUUUUUUUCUCCUUUUUUUCACCAUUUCUUUUUUUUCUCCUUUUUUCCUCCAUUUCUUUUUUUUUCUCCUUUUUUCCUCCAUUUCUUUUUUUCUCCUUUUUUCCUCCAUUUCUUUUUUUUCUCCUUUUCUCUCCCCUUUUCUCCAUUUCUUUUUUUUCUCCUUUUCUCUCCCCUUUUCUCCAUUUCUUUUUUUUUCUCCUUUUCUCUCCCCUUUUCUCCAUUUCUUUUUUUUUCUCCUUUUUUUCUCCAUUUCUUUUUUUCCCUUUUUUUUCUCCAUUUCUUUUUUUCUCCUUUUUUCUCCAUUUUCUUUCUCCUUUUUUUUUUCCAUUUUCUUUUCUCCUUUUUUUCUCCAUUUUCCUUUAUUUUCUCCUUUUUUCCCCUUCCCAUUUUUCCCCCUUCCCUUUCUUUAUUCCACCGUUAAUCCCUUUAAUUUCCUUAUCAUUAUUCUUUUAACCCUUUCCCAACCGGCACCGCCUCCCGGCCCGAGCAGCGCGGGGGGCGUGGCCUGAACCCGCAGGGGGCGUGGCCAACCGAAAGGGGGCGUGGCCACCAGAAGGGGCGUGGCCACACGCGCCUCACCCUCCGCCCCCACCCACCGCAGCCGCG
rnacentral:lncRNA from 1 species